AUUGAACGCUGGCGGCAGGCCUAACACAUGCAAGUCGAACGCGUGGCGGACGGGGGAGUAAUGUCUGGGAAACUGCCCGAUGGAGGGGGAUAACUACUGGAAACGGUAGAUAAUACCGCAUACCCUCGGAUGUGCCCAGAUGGGAUUAGCUAGUAGGUGGGGUAACGGCUCACCUAGGCGACGAUCCCUAGCUGGUCUGAGAGGAGGACCAGCCACCCUGGAACUGAGACACGGCCCAGACUCCUACGGGAGGCAGCAGUGGGGAAUAUUGCACAAUGGGCGCAAGCCUGAUGCAGCCAUGCCGCGUGUAUGAAGAAGGCCUUAGGGUUGUAAAGUACUUUCAGCGGGGAGGCGUUACUCGCAGAAGAAGCACCGGCUAACUCCGUGCCAGCAGCCGCGGUAAUUC
rnacentral:rRNA from 1 species